CAAACCUCAAGCAUGGCUUGGUGUUGGGCGCCUGUCCCGCCGCUUCGCGCGCGGACUCGCCUCAAAGUCAUUGGCGGCCGGCGUUCUCGACAUUCCGCACGCAGCAGACUGCGCGAUGCGAACUCGGGGAGCCUGGCGUCCAAGAAGCUUUUUCUUCCAA
rnacentral:misc_RNA from 1 species